rnacentral:ncRNA from 1 species
UAAAGCCACUUUACAUAUAGCUUAGUUCAACAAUAUGAGGCAUAAUGCCCUACAACGUAGCGGUGUCUCAUGAUUGGGAAGGAUUUUCUAUGCUUAGAAUUUCUAAGUGAAAAUAAAUAUUUCCAAUCAUGCGACACUUUAAUCGCUAUCCCAUAUUAAAUUAGGGAAUGGGACUCUUCACCGAGGUUGUAAAAUGAGACAAACGAUUUUAGCUGUAU